AAAAAAGGUAAGCUACUAAGAGCGAAUGGUGGAUGCCUUGACUGGUAAAGGCGAUGAAGGACGUACUAGACUGCGAUAAGCUACGGGGAGCUGUCAAGAAGCUUUGAUCCGUAGAUUUCCGAAUGGGGCAACCCAAUGUAUAGAGAUAUACAUUACCUAUAUAGGAGCGAACGAGGGGAAUUGAAACAUCUUAGUACCCUCAGGAAAAGAAAUCAAUAGAGAUUGCG
rnacentral:rRNA from 1 species